CUUGGUCAUUUAGAGGAAGUAAAAGUCGUAACAAGGUUUCCGUAGGUGAACCUGCGGAAGGAUCAUUCACAAACGAGUGUUUUAUGGCACUCUUUAAAAAUCCAUAUCCACCUUGUGUGCAAUGUUUGUUGGGAAAGUCUUUUCUUUCCCUUCAUAAAUAUCAACCUAUAUCUUUAACAACAUUCGUCUGAUAACAUAUUAUGAAUAUACUUAAUUCAAAAUAUAACUUUCAACAACGGAUCUCUUGGCUCUCGCAUCGAUGAAGAACGCAGCGAAAUGCGAUACGUAAUGUGAAUUGCAGAAUUCAGUGAAUCAUCGAAUCUUUGAACGCAUAUUGCGCUCUUUGGUAUUCCGAAGAGCAUGCUUGUUUGAGUAUCAGUAAACACCUCAACCUCUCUUUUUGACAAAAAAAGGGAGGGUGGACUUGAGCUAUCCCAACGACCUUCACCGGUAGGCGGGCAGCUUGAAAUGCAGGUGCAGCUGGACUUUUAUCUGAGCUAAAAGCAUAUCUAUUUAGUCCUCGUCAAACAGGAUUAUUACUUUUGCUGCAGCUAACAUAAAGGAUAAUUGUCCUCUUUGCUGACUGAUGCAGGAUUUUACGACACUUUAUGUGUUGUUCAACUCGAUCUCAAAUCAAGUAAGACUACCCGCUGAACUUAAGCAUAUCAAUAAGCGGAGGAAAAGAAACUAACAAGGAUUCCCCUAGUAACGGCGAGUGAAGCGGGAUGAGCUCAAAUUUGAAAUCUGGCUGGUUUACUAGUCCGAGUUGUAAUUUAAAGAAGCGUUUUCGGUGGCAGCCUGGGUAUAAAUCCUUUGGAAUAGGGUAUCAUAGAGGGUGAGAAUCCCGUCUUUGACCUAGUGCAUGCUACUAUGUGAUACGUUUUCAAAGAGUCGAGUUGUUUGGGAAU
rnacentral:sRNA from 1 species